rnacentral:rRNA from 1 species
AUUGAACGCUGGCGGCAUGCCUUACACAUGCAAGUCGAACGGUCACGGGCCUUCGGGUGCCGCCGAGUGGCGAACGGGUGCGUAAUACAUCGGAACGUGCCCGCUCGUUGGUGUUAACGAGGCUCAAGCUUUGCUAAUACCGCAUACGAUCUACGGUUUACAGCAGCGGACCGCAAGCCCUCGCGCGGCCGGGUCGCUCAGUAGCAGAUUAGUUAGUUGUUGGGAUAAAAGCAUCCCAAGCCUCCGAUCUGUAGCUGGUCUAAGAGGAAGAUCAGACACACUGGGACUGAAACACGGCCAAGAAGCCUAAAGGGGGCAGCAGUCGGGAAUUUUGGACAGUGGGCGGAAGCCUGAUCCAGCCAAGCCGCGUGCAGGAUGAGGACCUUCGGGUUGUAAAAAGCUAUUGUAGGGAACGAAAAGCCUUCUAUAAAGACAGGAAUGUCAUGACGGUACCGUAAGAAUAAGCACCGGCUAACUAAGUG